CAUGUAGCCAUUCCCCACUUCUAUCUAUAAAAGCUCUUGCCCCACUGGUUGCCAGAGGCGGGGGAGUGGGCCUUUGGACAGAUAUCCGUCCUCCCCCGCAGUUGCCGGAUUCUGAAAUAGAGCAAACUUUCCUUUCCGCCAACCCAGCCUGUCUAUUGACUCUUGAGUGGUGAGCAGCUGGACCCUAUCUUUCAGUAACAUUCUGUCUUCCUUCCCUCCUCUCCUCAGGCAAGACUUCUUGGCAGCUGGGGACUCUGGGACUUCUUCCUGCCACAUAUGAACCACAAAUAGACGAGGACUAUAAGGGAGUUCAUUGGUUUGGAAGAAGGUACUCAAAGGUCUCAGGGGCUCACCCUUGGGGUAAAGACCUUUCUGACAACACAGCUUUGACUGGCAUGGCACUGGACUAAAAUCAAGAGACUCAAGAUCUACCCAUGGCUAAAGAGCUUACCAUUCACUGCCCUUGGUAAGUCAUGCUUCUUCCUUGAGCUGAGAUUAUUUCAGUAAGAUCAGGGGGGUAGAUCUGAUGACUUCCAGUUCACACCUACCUAGUAAAAG
rnacentral:lncRNA from 1 species